rnacentral:tRNA from 1 species
GAGAGAGGCCCGCCGCAAUGAAGACUGCUAAUCUUCACCCCUUUGGUUAAACCCCAAAGCUCACUCG